UGUUCGUUAAGCAUCAUCUGCUCUUUUUGCUGGUCACGGGCUGAAUUGUUGAACUGAAGUUUAAAGAUGGAAGCCCAACGGAAGCCAUCCAGUACUCGACUAUGUAAGUAUGUCAACACCGAGCGAGGAUGCAAGUUCGGAGAAAGAUGUCACUUUCGCCAUCCAAGAGGAGAUACUUUUACGCAGAAGGAAUCCCGAGCUGUGCAACCUCGCUACAAAAUUGCGCCGCAGCACCAUACAAGCCGCCGCCCUACCACGAGGAAUUCUCGGCAGCUUCACCGAAGAGACAGAAGAGUUCAACAUCGACAUCAGGAAGCUGAGCCAAAAGUGGAAGUGGUAGAGAACCGGGAUGAAGACACGGUGGAUCCCCAAAAUCUCACGCGGGAACAGUACACGCUUGCGCAACAGCACCCGUUUCCGUUUGGCUUUCCACCGCCAGUACCAAAUUGGUCCGUGCUAAGCCAUGAAGAGCCGAUGGAUGAGUCUCCAUAGUAUUGUCCAGCCAAGUUGUGCAACCUUCAUUCGUGUGUUCGUCGAAACAUUGUGUUUCAGGGUUAAGGACCCAUCGGUACAUAUUGUCCGUAAACCUUAAUUUUGUUCUCAGUCUUGGUCAGUCUUGGUUGAUUAUAGAAUUUAGUUUUCGUAAUUCUCAACGACACUGCGUGUCCUGUAAACUUUCAUUUUGUACUCAGUCUUGGUUACAUCAAAAUAAAAUUAGUUUUCGUAUUCUCUA